UUUGCGCUCUCCCCUUGGGCGGUGCCCUCUCUCUCUCCCCCCAACAUGGACACGAAGGGUAAGGGUUCAUCCCUGAUUCCCUCCUUAGCCGGAUGAACCAGUAUGGGGAUAUCGAUGAUGGCCAGAACACGCUUGGUUAUGUCCUAGCGCUCACAGUCGACAACUUCUUUGGGUGUUGCCUCAAGACGCUUGUGCUAAGGUCGGAGAUGGCUACGUUGAACAGGAAAAAGGAUCUGGAGUUUUUGUGCAUCAUUGGAUUCGCACUCUCCCCUUGAGCGGUGCUCCCUCUCCUUUUCCCUCAUUGGUUCUUCCCAAAUGCCUUCCUCAGGUGGAUGAGCCAGUACGUGCUCACAGUCGAUAACUUUCUGUGAGCGUCGCCUCCUGACGCUCAUGUUAAAUCCUGGGAUGGCUACGUCGAACGGGAGAAAGGAUAUGGCGCUUUUGUGCAUCAACGGAUUCAGACUGUCUGCCCUUGAGCGGUGCUCCCUUUCUUUUUCCCCCAUUGGUUCUUCCUUAAUGCGUUCCUUAAACGGAUGAGCCAGUACGUGAUCACAGUCGAUAACUUCUUUGUCUCCAGACGCUCAUGUUAAAGUCGGGGAUGGCUACCUCAAACAGGAGAAAAAGCACCUCACUGUCAGUUAACAAUAUUCUUGCAUGUUGUGGGUCUAUGUGUGGAGGUGGCUGUGAUGGAGGCUGACCUAUCAAUGGCUGUCAAUACUUUGUCCAAAAUGGCGUCGUCACAGAAGAGGGACCUUUCUGUUUCCUAGAGGGGAAUUAAUUUUGAUGGAGUUUUUUCGUGCAAACAUGCUUCUGGACAGCAAUAUGAAGAAUGCAAUGAUAUAGCUACCAAAGGUGAAUGGUGGUUGUUGGAUUGAUCGUGCGCGCUUUUGCUGUGAAGGAUAUCUCAGGAACCUCAAAAGCAUUGCUGAAUGAUCAGGACCGGUGUAAAAUCUUGUCUUUAAAAGCAGAUUUUCCAAUGAUAAAGGGCGUUUGUCGUUCUCGACUUCAGAUUUC